UACGUAGGGACCGAGCGUUGUCCGGAAUCAUUGGGCGUAAAGAGCGUGUAGGCGGCUUGCUAAGUCUUGCGUGAAAUCUCGGGGCUCAACCCCGAGCGGUCGUGGGAAACUGGCAGGCUAGAGUGCGGGAGAGGAGAAUGGAAUUCCUGGUGUAGCGGUGAAAUGCGCAGAUAUCAGGAAGAACACCUGUGGCGAAGGCGGUCUUCUGGGACGUCAACCUGACGCUGAGACGCGAAAGCGUGGGGAGCAACCGG
rnacentral:rRNA from 1 species